AUUGAACGCUGGCGGCAGGCCUAACACAUGCAAGUCGGACGGUAGCACAGAGGAGCUUGCUCCUCGGGUGACGAGUGGCGGACGGGUGAGUAAUGUCUGGGGAUCUGCCCGAUAGAGGGGGAUAACCACUGGAAACGGUGGCUAAUACCGCAUAACGUCGCAAGACCAAAGAGGGGGACCUUCGGGCCUCUCACUAUCGGAUGAACCCAGAUGGGAUUAGCUGGUAGGCGGGGUAACGGCCCACCUAGGCGACGAUCCCUAGCUGGUCUGAGAGGAUGACCAGCCACACUGGAACUGGGACACGGUCAAGACUCCUACGGGAGGCAGCAGUGGGGAAUAUUGCACAAUGGGCGCAAGCCUGAUGCAGCCAUGCCGCGUGUAUGAAGAAGGCCUUCGGGUUGUAAAGUACUUUCAGCGGGGAGGAAGGCGAUAAGGUUAAUAACCUUGUCGAUUGACGUUACCCGCAGAAGAAGCACCGGCUAACUCCGUGCCAGCCGCCGCAGUAA
rnacentral:rRNA from 1 species